UUGUGCUGUCAAAUAAAUUUUUAAAAAUCUUAAAAAAAAAAAACAACCCAUUGUUCUAGUUUGUACCUUGGAUUAAUGAUACAUGUUUUUUUGAUAGCUAAAUUGGUAAGUGAAAGAGUGUGUGUGUGUCUCUGGUGUGUGUGGU